rnacentral:rRNA from 1 species
UACAGAGGUCCCAAGCGUUGUUCGGAUUUACUGGGCGUAAAGGGCGCGUAGGCGGUCAGCACAAGUCAGUUGUGAAAUCUCCGGGCUUAACUCGGAAAGGUCAACUGAUACUGUGCGACUAGAGUGCAGAAGGGGCAACUGGAAUUCUCGGUGUAGCGGUGAAAUGCGUAGAUAUCGAGAGGAACACCUGCGGCGAAGGCGGGUUGCUGGGCUGACACUGACGCUGAUGCGCGAAAGCCAGGGGAGCGAACGG